AACCUGUUACAUCAAAAUUCUUCAAUAGUUUAUGCAGGACAAUCUUAGGACUGUGUGUUGGACGGCUGCUUCCGGUUCCUGAAAAUAGCUGGGAAAUUAAUGUUAAAACAACCAAAUGUAUAACCAGAGCUGCCAAGUCUCACCCUUUGAGAGUGAGAGUCACGCAAUGUAACCUCUUCACACGCCUCACGCCACACUUGCCAUUUCACACGCUUUCCCCCCCCCUCUCACUACUUUAUAAUUAUUUUUUUAUUUAAUGAUAUAUUUCCAUAACUUGUUGCUUGAGGCUUGCCGUAGUUCGAGUCAGGGACAGGGUGAGCCCGCCCUAUUCUGCCCCCGAUUGGCUGACCGAGAUAUGUGAUAACCAAUCAUCAGCCCUCGAGGCUAAAUCCAACCAACCCAACGAAAGGCACCACGUAUACAAACCAAUCAGAGGCAGCUUAGGGCGGGUCAUUGCGUCUCUAUCCUAUGAAGAACAACAUAACUCUAUGGCGGAGAAAUCGAAAAGUAAACGUGAAACGUCUGUGUCAGCGCCUCAAUAAUGCCGUGACUGACAUUUUCAUCUGAAGCGGGAGGUCAAACGGUAGAGGAUCUGACUGUGGAUGUGGGAUACUGGUUUAAAGGAAGCACCAAUCGUAAAGGUUACCUGACAGAAUUAUGUGAGCUCCAUGGAAGCGAGUAUUUGGAAAUACUUAUGCACGUUUCCAUUCGAUGGUUGAGCCUGGAGAGGUGUUGACUCGUACCCUGCAACCACUGGCCAGCUACUUCAAGUCAUCAGAUGAGAAACAACCAAGGUUCAGGAGGCUGUUGGAAGCAUUCUCUAACCCAAUGACAGAGGUGUACCUGCUCUUCUAUCAAGCAACGUUGCCAGUCUUCUCCACCUUCAACCUCCUCCUCCAGAGAGAGAAGUCCUCCAUCUUCCUUCUACAUGAUGAGGUAAAUUGGGAAGGUUGGGAUACAGUAUGCUAGUAAUAAUGUACUAUGUUUGUUCCUUUUUUCAUCAUCCGCAAGUUUCUCUCGAAGUUUCUGAAGCCCGCAGCACCGGGAAUUGCAUGAAAUCCUCUAUAAGGACCCAUCAAACCUACUGCCAGGAGAAAAGCUGGUGAUCGGCUUCACUACUCGAGCUAUACUCAACAGGCUCCUUGAUGCAGGAGACAUUACACCGCAGCAAGUGCAGAGGUUCCAGCAGGCAGCAGUGGCGUUUCUGGUGAGGGCUGUGGAGUAUGCCAUGAAGAAACUCCCCAUGAGAGAGCCCCAGAUAAAACAUGCCAUGUUUCUGGAUGUCCAGCAGAGGGUAGAGUGUGGAGUGGAAGACGCCUUGUACUUUGUCGACAGGUUUCCUGAACUUCUCCCAUACAACGGACCUGACGAGCAGUUUCUGGACUACCAGUCCAUGGACAUUGCCAUGCCCGAAGACCCAGCCACGUUCGACAUUGAGAGCUUUUGGGGGAACUUGGCAUCAAUGAAGAAUAAGGUGACCGGUAUGAGCAGAUUUGGGAGGCUCUCUCGUAUUGCCAAGUUGGUGUUGGUACUUCCACAUUCAAAUGCUGAUGCUGAACGAGUGUUCUCUGUGGUGGGACUGAACAAAACCCGAAAAACUGUUUGGCUCUUGAUGGAACUCUAUCAUCCAUCAUGACUGUGAAGAUGGCAAACCUUGAGCCACAGUGUUUCAAAUGGGAGCCCCCUCCCUCUGUCAUCAAGGCAUCAAAAUCUGCCACAAACACCUACAACAUGAGACAUGUCAUGUAAACCAAAACACACAAACAAAGACAUGCACUUUAUUUAUUUAUAAUAUAUAUUAUAUAUAUAUUAUUCUGGUUCUAAUUUUGUUACUCUUAAAAAAAAAUGCACUAAAGGAAAAGGCUGCUAUUGGUUCUUAAAAGGCUGCUAUUAUUUCCUAAAAGGCUGCUAUGUUUUCUUUAUAUUGACAUUUUAUAAAUAAAUGUAUUUUAUUUGUCAAACCU